ACUACUAUGGACUAAUUGAAUAAAGCGUCCGCCUCAGAUGCGGAGGGCCGCGGUUUCGAACCCUGGUCUAGUAAUA